GCGGGAACGUCGUUUAUUAUAAGCUGACAAACUUGGUUUGUUCACGAUUAAACAGAAUGAACAAUCUCAUUAAACACAGUACGCGCAACAAGAAAGCAAAUUGAUGGCAAUACAAACCAACAGCUGGGCGACUAUUGACACAGUGUUGCACUUUCCACACGCUUGCACACGCGCAGAAAUAGCACUCGAACGAAUUACAAAACACGAGCAAUUUAGCGCGCCAUAAUUCAUUUGCACCUUGGGUAAACGUUGCAAUCAAUUCCAAAAACAAUUUAAUAUCAAAUUUGAUUAUUAAUUGGAGCAGCUUUGCGCCGUACACCGGAAGGUGUGUGUAAUCUAAGCGAAAUUCUAUUUUUUAUUAACCCUGCCUACCCCUUUGAAUUGAUAUCGAUCUGGGAAUUGAAACAUGCUCGACAUAUGAUUAAGAUUUAUUUCUUUUAUUCUUCGAAACUUCAAG